AAUUCAUGAUUUAGCCAUUUUCUAAGCAAUGACUUAAACCUCUCCCAUUCUUCACAAAAUGAUUCAUGUGCUAUUUUCCUAAAAGUAGAAAGGUCAAAUUUAACAUU